rnacentral:rRNA from 1 species
UGGGGAAUCUUGGACAAUGGGGGCAACCCUGAUCCAGCGAUGCCGCGUGAGUGAUGAAGGCCUUCGGGUUGUAAAACUCUUUCGACGGGGACAAUAAUGACGGUACCCGUAGAAGAAGCUCCGGCUAACUUCGUGCCAGCAGCCGCGGUAAUACGAAGGGGGCUAGCGUUGUUCGGAAUUACUGGGCGUAAAGCGCGCGCAGGCGGCCAUUCAAGUCAGGGGUGAAAGCCCAGAGCUCAACUCUGGAACUGCCUUUGAAACUGUAUGGCUUGAGUAUGAGAGAGGUGAGUGGAAUUCCCAGUGUAGAGGUGAAAUUCGUAGAUAUUGGGAAGAACACCGGUGGCGAAGGCGGCUCACUGGACAGGUAUUGACGCUGAGGUGCGAAAGCGUGGGGAGCAAA